rnacentral:rRNA from 1 species
UUCGAGUAGGCCGGGACACGUGAAACCCUGGUUGAAUCUAGGAGGACCACCUCCUAAGGCUAAAUACUCUUUACGAUCGAUAGCGAACUAGUACCGUGAGGGAAAGGCGAAAAGAACCCCGGAAGGGGAGUGAAAUAGAACCUGAAAUCAUGUGCCUACAAAGAGUCGGAGCAGGCUUGUCCUGUGACGGCGUGCUUUUUGUAGAACGAUCCAGCGAGUUAAUUGGUAUAGCGUUAGGUUAAGUCAUCUGACGGAGCCGUAGUGAAAGCGAGGGUUAAUAGCCCGACAUAGUUAUGCCGAUUAGACCCGAAACCGGGUGAUCUAACCAUGGGCAGGUUGAAGCGUGGGUAACACCACGUGGAGGACCGAACCACCGCAUGUUGCAAAAUGCUUGGAUGACCUGUGGUUAGCGGAGAAAUUCCAAUCGAACUCGGAGAUAGCUGGUUCUCCGCGAAAUAGCUUUAGGGCUAGCGUCACGAACUACCUUUCGGGGGUAGAGCUCUGAUUGGGUCUGGGGCCCUCACGGGUACCCAUCCCUAUCAAACUGCGAAUACCGAAAGAGACUACCGUGGCAGUCAGUACAUCGGGGCUAAGCUCGAUGCACAAAAGGGAAACAGCCCAGACCAUCAUCUAAGGUCCCUAAAUCUACGCUCAGUGGGAAACGAUGUGGAGACGCAUAAACAACCAGGAUGUGGGCUUAGAAGCAGCCAUGCAUUUAAAGAGUGCGUAACAGCUCACUGGUCAAUGGUGACUCUGCGCGGAAAAUGUAACGGGGCUAAGCGUAGUACCGAAGAUAUGGAUAUGACACAUUAGUGUCGUGUGGUAGCGGAGCGUUCCUUGGGCGUUGAAGCCGAGCCGGAAGGCCAGGUGGAGCGCAGGGAAGUGAGAAUGCUGGAAUGAGUAACCAUAAGGCAGGUGAGAAUCCUGCCCACCGUAAGAACAAGGUUUCCUAGGCAACGAUUAUCGUCCUAGGGUUAGUCGGGCCUAAGCCGAGGCGAGUAGCGUAGGCGAUGGACAACGGGUUAAUAUUCCCGUACCGGCGAUGGUGUUGCGUACAGGUGCGCGGCAUGGUAGUUCGAGCAGACUAUGGAUAUGUCUGUCUAAGUGCGUAGUCUUCGGAUGAAACACGAAUGAGAGGCGAGUAAAAUCGCUGAUUCGAGUGAGCCAAGCCGACCAGAAAAGCCUGUACGUGCCAAGCCAUAGCCGCCCGUACCGCAAACCGACUCAGGUGUUCGGGUCGAGAAGACCAAGGUGUACGAGAGAACCCUCCUUAAGGAACUCGGCAAUACAGCGACCGUAACUUCGGGAUAAGGUCUGCCUAGCUUGUCUAGGCCGCAGCAAAAGAGCCCAAGCGACUGUUUAUCAAAAACACAGGUCUGUGCUAACACGAAAGUGGAUGUAUACGGACUGACGCCUGCCCGGUGCCGGAAGGUUAAGGGGAUGAGUGCAAGCUCUGAACUGAAGCCCCGGUAAACGGCGGCAGUAACUAUAACUGUCCUAAGGUAGCGAAAUUCCUUGUCGGGUAAGUUCCGACCCGCACGAAUGGCGUAACGAUUUGGGCACUGUCUCAAGGAGGGACUCGGUGAAAUUGCAAUGCCGGUAAAGAUGCCGGCUACCCGCACCGAGACGGAAAGACCCCGUGGAGCUUUACUACAACUUGGCAUUGGGCCGGGUUGCAGCAUGUGUAGAAUAGGUGGGAGGCUUUGAAGCCAGGGCGCUAGCCCUGGUGGAGCCACCAGUGAAAUACCACCCUUGCUGUAAUCUUGUCCUAACCUGGACCAC